GCUGGCGGCAUGCUUAACACAUGCAAGUCGAACGGUAACAGGCGGAAGCUUGCUUCUGCGCUGACGAGUGGCGGACGGGUGAGUAAUGCAUAGGAAUCUGCCCAGUAGUGGGGGACAACUUGGGGAAACUCAAGCUAAUACCGCAUACGCCCUACGGGGGAAAGUGGGGGAUCUUCGGACCUCACGCUAUUGGAUGAGCCUAUGUCUGAUUAGCUUGUUGGUGGGGUAACGGCCUACCAAGGCGACGAUCAGUAGCUGGUCUGAGAGGACGAUCAGCCACACUGGGACUGAGACACGGCCCAUACUCCUACGGGAGGCAGCAGUGGGGAAUAUUGCACAAUGGGCGCAAGCCUGAUGCAGCAAUGCCGCGUGUGUGAAGAAGGCCUGCGGGUUGUAAAGCACUUUCAGCAGGGAGGAAAAGCAGUGGGCUAAUACCCCGCUUUCUUGAC
rnacentral:rRNA from 1 species